AGUGAACGCUGGCGGUAGGCCUAACACAUGCAAGUCGAACGGCAGCACAGUAAGAGCUUGCUCUUACGGGUGGCGAGUGGCGGACGGGUGAGGAAUACAUCGGAAUCUACUUUUUCGUGGGGGAUAACGUAGGGAAACUUACGCUAAUACCGCAUACGACCUACGGGUGAAAGCAGGGGAUCUUCGGACCUUGCGCGAUUGAAUGAGCCGAUGUCGGAUUAGCUAGUUGGCGGGGUAAAGGCCCACCAAGGCGACGAUCCGUAGCUGGUCUGAGAGGAUGAGCAGCCACACUGGAACUGAGACACGGUCCAGACGCCUAGGGGAGGCAGCAGUGGGGAAUAUUGGAGAAUGGGCGCAAGCCUGAUCCAGCCAUACCGCGUGGGUGAAGAAGGCCUUCGGGUUGUAAAGCCCUUUUGUUGGGAAAGAAAAGCAGCAGGUUAAUACCCCGCUGUUCUGACGGUACCCAAAGAAUAAGCACCGGCUAACUUCGUG
rnacentral:rRNA from 1 species